rfam:Ciona savignyi cont_34416, whole genome shotgun sequence.
GUCUCUGUGGCGCAAUUGGUUAGCGCGUUCGGCUGUUAACCGAAAGGUUGCUGCUUCAAGCCCAGCCAGGGACG